CCUACGGGUGGCAGCAGUGAGGAAUAUUGGUCAAUGGACGCAAGUCUGAACCAGCCAUGCCGCGUGCUGGAAGACGGCUCUAUGAGUUGUAAACUGCUUUUAUACGGGAAUAAAGUCAGGGACGCGUCUCUGUCUGAAAGUAUCGUACGAAUAAGGAUCGGCUAACUCCGUGCCAGCAGCCGCGGUAAUACGGAGGAUUCGAGCGUUAUCCGGAUUUAUUGGGUUUAAAGGGUGCGUAGGCGGUCGUAUAAGUUAGCGGUGAAAGCCCGAGGCUCAACUUUGGAAUUGCCUUUGAUACUGGUCGGCUAGAGAGUAGUUGCGGCAGGCGGAAUGUAUGGUGUAGCGGUGAAAUGCUUAGAGAUCAUACAGAACACCGAUUGCGAAGGCAGCCUACCAAGCCACUUCUGACGUUGAGGCACGAAAGCGUGGGGAGCAAACAGGAUUAGAUACCCGGGUAGUC
rnacentral:rRNA from 1 species